GAUGAACGCUGGCGGCGUGCCUAAUACAUGCCAGUCGAGCGAACAGACGAGGAGCUUGCUCCUCUGACGUUAGCGGCGGACGGGUGAGUAACACGUGGAUAACCUACCUAUAAGACUGGGAUAACUUCGGGAAACCGGAGCUAAUACCGGAUAAUAUAUUGAACCGCAUGGUUCAAUAGUGAAAGACGGUUUUGCUGUCACUUAUAGAUGGAUCCGCGCCACAUUAGCUAGUUGGUAAGGUAACGGCUUACCAAGGCGACGAUGCGUAGCCGACCUGAGAGGGUGAUCGGCCACACUGGAACUGAGACACGGUCCAGACUCCUACGGGAGGCAGCAGUAGGGAAUCUUCCGCAAUGGGCGAAAGCCUGACGGAGCAACGCCGCGUGAGUGAUGAAGGUUUUCGGAUCGUAAAACUCUGUUAUUAGGGAAGAACAAAUGUGUAAGUAACUAUGCACGUCUUGACGGUACCUAAUCAGAAAGCCACGGCUAACUACGUG
rnacentral:rRNA from 1 species